rnacentral:tRNA from 1 species
GGGCGCGUAGCUCAGUGGGAGAGCGCUCGCCUCACACGCGAGAGGUCGCAGGUUCGAAACCCGCCGCGCCCA